rnacentral:rRNA from 1 species
ACUCCUACGGGAGGCAGCAGUAGGGAAUCUUCCGCAAUGGACGAAAGUCUGACGGAGCAACGCCGCGUGAGUGAGGAAGGCCUUCGGGUCGUAAAGCUCUGUUGUGAGGGAAGAACAAGUACCGGCGUAACUACCGGUACCUUGACGGUACCUCACCAGAAAGCCACGGCUAACUACGUGCCAGCAGCCGCGGUAAUACG